UUGACGGGGGCCCGCACAAGCGGCGGAGCAUGUGGCUUAAUUCGAUGCAACGCGAAGAACCUUACCAGGGCUUGACAUGCAGGGAAAUCUCGUAGAGAUACGGGGUCCGUAAGGGUCCUGCACAGGUGGUGCAUGGCUGUCGUCAGCUCGUGUCGUGAGAUGUUGGGUUAAGUCCCGCAACGAGCGCAACCCUCGUCCUAUGUUGCCAGCGAGCUAUGUCGGGGACUCAUAGGAGACUGCCGGGGUCAACUCGGAGGAAGGUGGGGAU
rnacentral:rRNA from 1 species